rnacentral:rRNA from 1 species
GACGAACGCUGGCGGCGUGCUUAACACAUGCAAGUCGAACGGAAAGGCCCUGCUUUUGUGGGGUGCUCGAGUGGCGAACGGGUGAGUAUCACGUGAGUAACCUGCCCUUGACUUUGGGAUAACUUCAGGAAACUGGGGCUAAUACCGGAUAGGAGCUCCUGCUGCAUGGUGGGGGUUGGAAAGUUUCGGCGGUUGGGGAUGGACUCGCGGCUUAUCAGCUUGUUGGUGGGGUAGUGGCUUACCAAGGCUUUGACGGGUAGCCGGCCUGAGAGGGUGACCGGCCACAUUGGGACUGAGAUACGGCCCAGACUCCUACGGGAGGCAGCAGUGGGGAAUAUUGCACAAUGGGCGGAAGCCUGAUGCAGCAACGCCGCGUGCGGGAUGACGGCCUUCGGGUUGUAAACCGCUUUCGCCUGUGACGAAGCGUAAGUGACGGUAAUGGGUAAAGAAGCACCGGCUAACUACGUG